rnacentral:rRNA from 1 species
AUGGAGUUGAAAAAUGAAGCAACUGGGCUUGGAUGGGAUGAUGCGAAGAGAACCGUUGAUUGCUCUAAAGAAUGGUGGGAUGAACAUAUCAAGAGAUGCCAAGAGAGUACAGGAAAGAAAUGCAAUCAUAUGAAGUUCAAAAAACAGGGACCAAAGCACCUUGAAGAUUUUCACAUCAUAUUUGACAAAGUACAUGUUACUGGGGCUAGUGCUUCUUGUGCUGGAGAUAUAUCUUCUGAUGAAUCAAGUGAUGAUAUUGCGGUUCCUUUCGAAAAGCCCGAUGGUAGUGCUGAAAUGAAGUUGGCAUCUUCGAAGAAACCAAAACCAAGCAAGAAGCACAAGCAACCUUCUAACGCAAAUGAGGAGAAAGAAGAGAAGAGUCCAUUCUUACGAUUGUACAAGAAGACAUGCGAGAAAAUAGAACGUGGAGUGGAGAAGAUAACUUCAAGUGUUGAAGCAUCAUCCGCUCCUCUCACAAACCAUGUUCCCGCCAUUUCAGAAGUAAUGAAGAUGGUCAAAGAAUGUGGUGUGAAGGAAAAAACUGCUCUCAUGCACACAACCCUCACUCUUAUAGUGAAGCCCGAGUUUAGGGAAAUCUUAAAUGUUCUUGAAACAAAAGAAGGGAGGUUUGAUUUUUUGGAGAGGGAGCAUGAGAAGGAGAUGUUGAAGCACGUGUAG